rnacentral:SRP_RNA from 1 species
CAUCGGUAGCUUCGCAACUUUGAUUUAUGAACCCCGUCAGGAUCGGAAGGUAGCAGCGGUAGUAGAUUUAAAGUGUGCCGAAGAUGUGCUGGUGAAG